rnacentral:rRNA from 1 species
UACGUAGGGGGCAAGCGUUGUCCGGAAUCAUUGGGCGUAAAGAGCUCGUAGGCGGCUCGUUGCGUCAACCGUGAAAACCCGGGGCUUAACUUCGGGCUUGCGGUUGAUACGGGCGGGCUGGAGUUCGGUAGGGGAGACUGGAAUUCCUGGUGUAGCGGUGAAAUGCGCAGAUAUCAGGAAGAACACCCGUGGCGAAGGCGGCUCUCUGGGACGGUACUGACGCUGAGACGCGAAAGCGUGGGGAGCGAACAGG